rnacentral:ncRNA from 1 species
GGGUGAAGUUCAGUCUGGAUACUCUAGAGGCCCUGGCCCAGAAGAGGGCCAAUCCUGUC